GUGCUCACUUUGGCAGGACAUAUACUAAAAUUGGAAUGAUCAGAGAAGAUUAGCAUGGCCCCUGCCCAAGGAUGACACGCAGAUUUGUGAAGUGUUCCAUAUUAAA
rnacentral:snRNA from 1 species